UGCGGAGGGGGCUAGCGUUGUUCGGAAUUACUGGGCGUAAAGCGCGCGUAGGCGGCUACUCAAGUCAGAGGUGAAAGCCCGGGGCUCAACCCCGGAACUGCCUUUGAAACUAGGUGGCUGGAAUCUUGGAGAGGUCAGUGGAAUUCCGAGUGUAGAGGUGAAAUUCGUAGAUAUUCGGAAGGACACCAGUGGCGAAGGCGACUGACUGGACAAGUAUUGACGCUGAGGUGCGAAAGCGUGGGGAGCAAACAGG
rnacentral:rRNA from 1 species